GAAAAACCAAUAGUCCUCAUAUUUAAACAAUAUUCCAGUCCCUUUAACAAAUCAAUCAGCUAAAUUAAAAUAUCUACCUAAAGCUUUCAAAACUCAAAGAGAAUUAGCAACAAAAUGAUCAAAUGUACACCUAACAGGAAACUAAAACUAACUGCGGAAUCGACUAAUUUCAAGAGUGCAGAAGACAUUAUUGAAUAAACUGAUAUGUCAUAGAUUUUCAGCUCAAACCAAACAACUUCAUGUUCUUCCAUUUCACAUGUCAAGGAAAUGUAGUGAAUACCUGGCUACAACAGCAAAACAACAAGGAAAAAUGAGCUGGGAGUUUAAGAAGCAACAACAGCAAAGUAUCAGCAGCUAAAACAGCCAAACAAUCAGCAAUUACUCAACCUUUUGACCCAGCUUCAAACCCAAAAUCAAUACAACUUUCAGAGCUUUUGAAAAAUCUGACUAACAGGGAACUUAAGGAGCAGGGACCAACCAAUUCUAGGCAAAUUUCAGUAUUUUAGAGUCUAGAAGAAGCUUAGUUGUUCCUAAAGUUUUUCAGUAUUUUUCAAUCUCUAAAUUCUAACUUGGAAGUGAAGAAACAAAC
rnacentral:lncRNA from 1 species